CGCGGGGUGGAGCAGUUCGGUAGCUCGUCGGAACCAUAACCCGAAGGUCGCAGGUUCAAAUCCUGCCCCCGCAACCA
rnacentral:tRNA from 1 species